UGGGGAAUUUUGGACAAUGGGCGAAAGCCUGAUCCAGCAAUGCCGCGUGUGUGAAGAAGGCCUUCGGGUUGUAAAGCACUUUUGUCCGGAAAGAAAUCCUUGGCUCUAAUACAGUCGGGGGAUGACGGUACCGGAAGAAUAAGCACCGGCUAACUACGUGCCAGCAGCCGCGGUAAUACGUAGGGUGCAAGCGUUAAUCGGAAUUACUGGGCGUAAAGCGUGCGCAGGCGGUUUGCUAAGACCGAUGUGAAAUCCCCGGGCUCAACCUGGGAACUGCAUUGGUGACUGGCAGGCUAGAGUAUGGCAGAGGGGGGUAGAAUUCCACGUGUAGCAGUGAAAUGCGUAGAGAUGUGGAGGAAUACCGAUGGCGAAGGCAGCCCCCCUGGGCCAAUACUGACGCUCAUGCACGAAAGCGUGGGGAGCAAACAGGAUUAGAUACCCCUGGUAGUCCACGCCCUAAAACGAUGUCAACUAGUUGUUGGGGAUUCAUUUUCCUUAGUAACGUAGCUAACGCGUGAAGUUGACCGCCUGGGGAGUACGGUCGCAAGAUUAAAACUCAAAUGAAUUGACGGGGUCAUAGCUGUUUCCU
rnacentral:rRNA from 1 species